UAUUGACUGGGUGUGAGGGUAAUAGCAAGUUUGUUGUCCCUGAGGUACCAACUAUUGCUCGAGGCAAAGCCGAGAGCAAUAGUUGGUAUGCGAAGGAACAACAAACUUGCUAUUACUCGCACACCCAGUCAUUA
rnacentral:sRNA from 1 species